AGGGAAUAUUGCGCAAUGGGGGCAACCCUGACGCAGCAACUCCACGUGUGGGAUGAAGCAUUUCGGUGUGUAAACCACUGUCGGGAGGGAAUAAGGCGACGUUUCGGCGUCGUUCAAUGUACCUCCAAAGGAAGCACCGGCAAACUUCGUGCCAGCAGCCGCGGUAAUACGAGGGGUGCGAGCGUUGUUCGGAAUCACUGGGCGUAAAGGGAGCGCAGGCGGAGCGACAAGCGGUCUGUACAAUGCCGGGGCCUAACCCCGGACCUGCAGACCGGACUGCCGUUCUUGAGUCGUUCAGAGGCUGGCGGAAUUCCUGGUGUAGCGGUGGAAUGCGUAGAUAUCAGGAAGAACACCGAUGGCGAAGGCAGCCAGCUGGGGACGUACUGACGCUGAGGCUCGAAAGCGCGGGAAGCAAAC
rnacentral:rRNA from 1 species